CGGGAAGAAAGCUUGCUUCUUUGCCGGCGACCGGCGCACGGGUGAGUAACACGUAUCCAACCUACCCUUUACUCGGGGAUAGCCUUUCGAAAGAAAGAUUAAUACCCGAUAGCAUAAUGAUUCCGCAUGGUUUCAUUAUUAAAGGAUUCCGGUAAAGGAUGGGGAUGCGUUCCAUUAGGUUGUUGGUGGGGUAACGGCCCACCAAGCCUUCGAUGGAUAGGGGUUCUGAGAGGAAGGUCCCCCACAUUGGAACUGAGACACGGUCCAAACUCCUACGGGAGGCAGCAUG
rnacentral:rRNA from 1 species